UCUAAGCUGACGCCUAAGUCAGGUACAAGCACGAUUGGGUGUAAGCCAGCCUCAGCUUUUACAAAGUGAAAUGCAUAUUCUUUUAUUAGAAAUUACUUUCAUUUCCCUGCCUUCUUAUAAAGAAAGGGCAUCAUAUUGAUUUUUUUACACGGGGGAACCAUCACCUGGGCUGCAGCCCCAGGACGAACUUGUCCCUUCCCUCGGCCUCAAUUUCCUGCUUUGGGAAGUAGGAGCCACGAGGCACAACAUCCACUGCGCCACAAGAGAGAGGUCCAACGCAACGGUCUCUAGGACCUGCCUCCACCCCAGCCUCAGUUUCCCAUCUGUCACAUCGUUCCAUGAUCCCGAAACGAUUACAACUCCCUUAGCAGCCCCAAACCAACCGGAAGCGACAUCUUCCGGUUGCUACAGGUUACGGCGGUUGCUAUGGGCUACGGCGCCUGCGCAGAAACCCCGUCCAGUGACGCGACAGCUUCUGGAGCGCAUGCGUCUCGCCCACCGUGGCCCGGGGUGACUCCCACGAUCCCUGGCGGCUGCGGAGUGGAAAAUGGCGGCCUCCUUGCAGCUUGGGUUACUAGCGUCCACCCAGUCUCGUGCUUUCUCCGGGCGCCCCUAGCUGGCGCCGGCAUCCACAAAAAUAGAUCAGAGUGUCUGCCAGCCAGCUGUGAUCACCUGUGUCUGGGCAAGGGUAGCAGAUGUGACCUGGGAGGCUGCACCGAGUUCUGCUGGGACCUAUGUGGGGAGUGACGGGCUGAAGAGAUGGAAAGACGUCUGACAUUCUGGAGCCCAGGGCUGAGGCUGGACAGCGCAACCUGCCACUGAUGAAUAAAGAGCAAGCUCCAGGCUGUGAAGUGUCUAAUUCUUGCUCCCCUCAGAAGCUGGGACAUGUUGGAGAAAGGUGCACUAUCCCCAUUUCACAGAUGAAGAAACUGAGGCAGACAGGGAGAAGUGAAGUAGCUUGCCAAAACAGUAAAACUACAUUAUAAAUUAGAAACCCAAAUACCAUGCUCCUUCUACUAUCCCAGUUUCCCAGAAGUGGGACAAGCCACAACCGCGCCUUCCAAUAAAAGGGGAACUCCAGAGAUGCUAUGAGAAAAGAGGAACAGACAUCUGCAAUAGAUAUCUGCAACUUCCUUUUCAAAAACACCAUCAGCAUUGCUUUCUCAGGAAGCCACUGCCAGCCUAUUGUGAUAGCUGACACUGAGUUCCUGCAAAUUCUCUAAUUAGGAUCCCAGAUUGGAGGGUCAGCCAGUGGUUAACAUAUAAUGGACACAAAACUGAUUUUAUUGGAAGACUGGGGGUGGGCACUCACCAUGGUUCUAAGCAUUACUCAGAAAAUCCAUAAAAACAUUACAAUUCUGUUGUGUAAGAGUUUAGGAAAAAACGAAAAUCCUGACAAAAUUCCAACCUAAAAAACAGUGUCAACACUUGUAAGUAGGAUGGGGAGGCACAGAUGAAUUGGUAGCGUUAUCACAGCUAUUGGACUAUGUGGACUUUAACAAAGUAAGAAACGGGUGGGGGUUGGGUGGUGGUAUCUUAACAGAGCAGGCAUAGAGACGGAUGUCCUGGGGGCAGAAUGGGUACUAAUGCUGCCUGGACCUGGGAGCUGAGGACUAAGGUAGACAGGAGGGUGGGGACCCGUACCUGCUCCAAGGAACUGGUGCCCCUGAACUGGUGAGCUGGGGUAUGCAUUUAGCUCAUUCGUUUACCAGAAUGCAGUCACCACCUGAUGAAAGAAAUGACUAAUGGCAGGACUUGAACAGUUCUCUAUAAACAAGUACCUGGGAGAGGAACAAGUCUCCAGGCUCCACAAUACCCACCAAACACACUGCCUUUACCCAUUUCAAGCUACACUUCUUACAUGGAACCCAACCCAACCAACCUCAGAGGUAAGGGUGAAAGCAGGCAAUCAACAGCUAUGAUUCUCCAUUCCCUGGCCAGGCAGGGAGCCUUUCCAUCCACCCUCAUGAGACUGCUUGUAACAGAAAUAAGGAAAACAACUCCAAGGCUCAGUAACCCACCCAAGAUCAGAACCACUGAGUGGCAGGGCCUGUGAGCCACAAAGAAGAUUGAGAACCAGAAAGAGCUUCUCUCUGGUCUGUGUUAUUUUAAGAAAAACAUGCCCAUAGGGGCCACCUGGAACCAAGGCUGUGGCACUCUCACCUUCCUUUCUAAUUAAACAUCAACUUCCCAGGAGCAACAACAGCCUGGCCCAGCAGAUGAACUGGAAUCAAUCUAAGCCUUUCCCCUAUGCCAGGGCUGGUGUGGGGUAGGCAUAUGGGCCAGUUUGGGCACUAACACCUACUUAGUUUGGGCACUACUUUACCUGCUGUGAAGUCUACUGGGAUCUUCCAGGAAAGUCCUACCUCAUUAGUAAAAAGAAAAACAAAGACUCAGGAAGAAAGUUCCUGCUCCCCCUGUUGAAUGUUGUCAUGUAAAGAUAAGAUGUUUGGAGCAUGGCAGUCACCCUGUGACUGAGAAGGCCAGGCAUACCACAGGGCGGUCAUUCCAGUGCUCUCAGUCAGCCCCAAACCACUUCCCUCAAGACUCAUGUCCUGAGGUGACUGAAAGUGUGCUCUAAAGGUAAAACUAUGGUAACAGUCAACAGCUCAGUGAUUGCCAGGAGUCAGGGGUAGAAGGAGGGAAGAACAGAUGGAACACAGAGAAUUUUUAGGGCAGUGAAAAUGUUCUGUAUGAUACUAUAUAUAAUGGACACAUGCCAUUAUACACUUGUCCAAACCCACAGAAUGUACACCACGAAGAGUGAAUCCUAAUGCAAACUAUGGAUUUUGGGUAAUCAUGAUGUGUCAAUGCAGGUUCGUCAAUUGCAACACAUGUACCAUUCUAGCGGACAGUGUUGAUAAUAAAGAGGGUACGCAUGUUUGGGACCAGGGGAUAUAUGGGAAAUCUCUGUAUUUACCUCUCAAUUUUGCUGAGAAUCUAAAACUGCUCUUAAUAAAGUCUUACAAAAAUAAAGAAGUCUGCUUUGCCUUACAUUGGGUCUUCAGCUACCUGCAGCCAAAUGAACACAACUGGCGUGAGGUUAACCUUUAUUUGACAUUUAGUGAGCACACUAUAACAUAGUGCUGUCACGAGAGGAAUAACAAAUGGAACUCAACAACCAAAACUACAAAGAGCUAUCCCCGAUCUGUGACAAUGAGAUCAGUGUCUCAUGUCAGGACCCACUACACAUACCCACAUUUUGUCUGUGUAUAAACAAAAUUUACAUGUAAGUUACUACAUGGAAUAUACUUCUCAUUUUUAAAAAGAAUGCUGAUUGUGACCCACUAAAUUUAUUUCAUGAUACAUUAAUGGUUCAUAAUCCACAAUUUGAAAAGUACGGUAUACCUAUAAAAAAAUUAGCCUAUUUCUUGCCAGACUUGAACCCGGCCCUGACCUGUGCAAGACUGUAUUUUGAUUGUAAUGAAAACCACAGGGUACUGAGACAGACUCCCUAAACUUCCUUUUUAUCCCUGAUCAAAUGCAAUGCCAGGCAACCUCCAGACACUACAU